rnacentral:lncRNA from 7 species
AGGGGGGCAAAUAUUUGUAGCUUGGAAGGUUUUAUUGAGAGAAGGAAUUGCAUUUUGGUGCUUUUCUAAGUAGUUGUCCUUGACCAGUUUUUGGUUGGAGAAGAAAAAAUUAACCAUGUUUUUUUUCACAGAUGAGGGGAAUGCUCCCUGGUGGUGGAUAAGCUAUAUGACAUUGCUUAGAGCCACAUCAGCGUUCAGUAGGGAAUCAGAAUGGAGAUUCCUGAAGAUGCUUCUGUUGAAGGCAAAGGUGACCUCCUUUCAGCAGCGUGUUAGUUGGUAUGGCGCGGACAGCUGCUGUCACUGCAAGCCUUCAUCAAAAUAAUGCCAGAAGGGCGACUGGGACCUACCCUGCAGAGAAGGAGCAGAAGCCAUCUACUUAACGCUGCUCUAUUGACCUUCUGCUUUUUGGAAUGCAUAUCUUGCAUGGGAUGCAGAGCUAUGAGGUGUAUCGGCUCUUUCCAGGACAGGCUGGAAGCUCAGAAAACGACUGUCGCAUUCUUGCAUAGCCGCAGACACUGAGUACAAUAAAGGUCGAGCCCAAAUCCUGAUGGGGAACAAAGUUAUAACUCAAACAGCUGGAGUUGAGAAAGGCCACUGGCUCUGCUCCAGAAAGCCUGGCAUAUUCUGGUGUUUGUGGAAUAUCCUCUUGUUACUUACCAGGACACACUGCUGGGCCGAGAGCAAGCUUAUGAUGCCGAGGGAUCUCCUGGGUUUGGCUGGGGCAGAAAUACCUCGUGGUUUCUCUACAUCUGGGGGGAAUUAGUAAGUCCUGGAACACAUGAAGAUUAAUAAUAAGAAUAAAAAGCUUUCCUUCCACCCCCCGUCACCUCCUCCCACUGACACAAUUUAAAGAUUUAAAAUCAGUCUGUACCGCGGCCAGAGAUUGGAGUUAUGAUUGUAAUGUUUCCAUUUAGAACAAGGAAAUUGAAGUAGGGCAAUUAAUCAAUAACAAUAUGGGAAAGUACAAACUGAGACAGUCACUUGAAGCUCGCAUGCUUAGCUGGCUGAGGGGAAUUUUAGGAACUUCUGUCUCUUGCUGCCCUAUAGGUUUUAUAUUACCAACUUCCAAAAACUGAGAGAAGCAGUGCUUUGUGUUUGUGCUGCUUCACCCAAACCCAUUCAUUUGCAGGGAGCGGAUACU